UCCGCGGUCCUUAAAGUGAGAAAAAAAAGAAACCCAUCGGGAUCUCCUCUCUCUCCCUCGCCUCAGCCGCCAGGAGCGGCGGUCGAUCCGGUGCCGCGCCGGCCGCGGGCCGCCGGCCGGUGCCGGCGAGCGUCCGCGCCUUCGGAGUCUUCCUCUGCGCCUUUCUGCAUGGGGACGCGUUCGGAGGAGCUCGCUGCCAGGUUGGCGGCCGGGGGCCCCGGCGGCGUCGGCGGACCAGCAGGAGGAGGAUGCGGGGAGGGGCAGCACGAGCGGGUGGUCGCGCUCCGCGAGAUCAAGAACCAGACCUUCGGGAACCAGACCAAGAAGCUCCUCUACCUCCGCCUGGGUGCCGUGUUAGCGGUCGUCACGGCGCGUCACCAGCCAUGCUCGUCCAUGAGCGGCCGCGGCGGAGUACUUUGCUUGCGGCGUAGACGAUGGCGCGCAUGCCGUGCUUGCUGCUGGAGCCGUGGGGCACCUCCUCGCCCACCCCGACAACAAGAAGAGCUGGUGGGAGGAAAUGGGUGGCUACCCAGCAACUGCUUGCUGGUUGCGCCAAUUUGGGGGUUGCUAGCAAUUGUGCUUGUCCCUGAACUAUAGACCAAAAAGAGACAAUGCUAACUUAAUGAAUGUUUUGUGUGGGAAUUAGUCUGUACAUUAGCCACAACCGGAUCCAGAUUGAGGUUGGCGGUCGAUACCAACGCCGUCCUGGAUGGCGUGCUCGAGAUCGAAGGCGGGGAACUCCAGAAGGCAGACGGCGGCAUUGCCUCAGUUGUAGCUGCAUGGGGAAGAGGAGGGGUGGAGGAGUAGACGCUGCAUCUCCAUCCGCCGUGAUGGGAGUGAUGGCGCCGGCGCUCGCCGUGUCCGCCGUCAGCUCCAUCUUGACGAUGUUAUCCUUGAUUGGAAGUUCGAGCGCCCUCACAACAGGACUUACUCCACCCCUUCUCCCUCCCCGUUCCCUUCCCCUGGGGGUUAAUUGAAGUAUUUAUAUUUCCGUAUUAGUGUGGUUCAACUUGCUAUUGGGCACAUGGUGUGUUUUCUGAAUUUUGGUCUGAAAGAUGAUUUUGUGAGUUCAAGCUUUUGUGCGAUUCCUGAUGUUGUGUUCCUGCCAAAUGACAUAUGUCCUGCACUGAAUUUUUCUGACGCUAUAAUCAUGGCAGGAGCUUUGUACUGGGAAAGCAUGUCAGAAUUAUCUAGAAUUGAUGGACUUUAGUUGGUGUUUGUUUGCUGGAUGGAAUUAGAUUUGUGGAUAUAUCAGUUUAUGGGUGGCUACUUGAUUGGUGAAUUCACCUGCUAUAUGAACACUAUUUUUAAUAAAUGGUGUGCAUCUAAGAUGUAUAAGAACAAGUUUGAGGAUAAAGAUUCAUAUAAAGAAUUAUGUAAAAAAUUGUGAUUCUUAAUAUCUUGAGAACUAGCGUAUAUUUUUUCCACUACAUUAGCCUUCAGAUUUUUCUUGGAUUUGCUUUCUGCACUAAUGUUUUCAGUACCAUCCUUCUUCCGCGAUGCUGCUGCAUGCCAGGAUUCGCAGUGGCACCGCCGCAGCCAGCGAGGACACAAGCUCACGAGGAUUGUUGCCGCUUCGGAGGACAUGGGAGCUGCCAUAGCCAGCGAGUACGUGAGCGCACGUAGGCACCAUCGCUUUCGAGGAUGCGAGAGCCAUCUCAGCUUGAGAGAAUGCGCAUACCAUCUCCAGUGUGUGCAACAAGUGUUCCUCUAAACGUCUGAGCGUAAAGACUACUCAUGGGUGAUGCUUCUGUGACCAGACCUCUAUAAAAUCACAAGAUAGUUUCAGUGUUGUUGUUCUCAAUCAUGUUACCCUUAAGUGCAAGACAUCAAUUUGCUCUUAAGUAAAAGGGAAAUUUGAGCAGGAAAGGUAAGCAAUUCGAAGCAAGCUCCCGAGAUAAAUUUUCUUUUGGUUUAGCUAACGAAUGCCUUGGUAUAGGUCUAAUCUCUCCUUCCUAGAGAUGGUUCUUUCUUAUUUCUUUUACGGGGACUUACUUUUGUUUCUUUAAUUAGGAUACCUUCACCUGGUAUUUUUUGUUUUAAUUAAUGAAUAUAGAUCAGUUGCAUUGUUUUGUCUCAACCAAGCUAGCUGUAUAGUAGAAAUUCAGCAUGCACACAAGGUGAUCUGGUUGAGUUUUACUAGGUAACCGUACCAUUGUUGUCUGCAUGCUGAAAAGCUUAUGGGUAUGUACUGAAACUAAAUUAUACUCCCUCCGUCCGGAAAUACUUGUCAUUGAAAUAGAUGUAUCUAGAUGUAUUUUAGUUCUAGAUACAUCUAUUUUCAUCCAUUCUGAUGACAAGUAUUUCCGGACGGAGGGAGUAGUUGUUAAGGAUUAUUUGCAGACAGGUCAAGACCGGAAGAUGUCAUCAUUAUCCCUAAACUGAGAUGUCUUCAGGAUUGGAAAUGUCACGAAGGCCCCCGUACAAUUAUAGGUACCAACAUAUAAAAAUCCAAGAAUUUCCCGCUAAGAGACACUCGACAUGCAAACUUAAAUCAUGCUAGAAUUCGUCAAAUACCAUGUUUAACCUGAAUUAGUUACUUGACAUGUGCCUAUCUUCUUCUUUUUCCAAAUUAUGUGUUCAAUUGUUCAUCAUAUUAUUGAUGGAAUUAAUUUUGCAUCGAUUGUUUGCACCACUUGAUAAUUACAACGAAAGUUAUGGAUGUCCAAUCUGGCUGGUUGUUUGUCUACUACUAAAGCUUGUACAUAUUUGCUUAAAUUUGAAUACAUGUCAAAAAAUCUCCCGUUGCCACACACACAUCCGUGGCAAUUGUUGAAAGCUCUGAAUACUUCACUCUUUGUUCUGAUGCUUAGGGAUAUUGGGUAGAAUCCAGUGUCACUCAUGAUCCUGGUUUAAUAGAGGAACUGAAUUGAUCAUGAUUUUGAAUGUCAAAUGUCACACAGGGAAGGGCCUGAACAUGAACUUACUUGGUAAUGCCCAUUUGUGUAGAUCGGUAGCCUGUGGCAUCUAUUUUGUCCAAUCAUCCGCCACGAACAAAUUUUCUUUGUUGGGUGCUGGUGGUUCUACUUCCAAUGUUUUUGUAGGACAUUGCUCGGUUAGUAAUGACUUUGAAUGUAAAGCGUGCUAUGAAGUACAUGAUGCGCUGUGUAGUUCCCUCAAUUACGUGAAGAAGAAGAAUGGCAGCAAAGACUUAUGGAUGGAAGAUACACUCAUCGUCACACAUAUGUUUUCACUCAUCGUCAAGCAUUGCACUCCCAAUGUCCAUAUAUUGUUCAAUUACCACUGAUGUCGACCUAGGUUAUAAACCAAAAUAAGACAAUCCUUAGCAUGGUUUUCCAAGCUAUGUCGCUCUUUGAGACAUGCUUGAUAAUUACAAAAACAUUGGAAGUUGAAAAAUGUUUAUCCUUAAAGACUUUAUUUUAUAAGUUUAUUUGUCACAAUCAAA